rnacentral:lncRNA from 1 species
GAUUAAUUAAGCUUAAUAGAUUCGUCUCGCGAAUUAGCCUUCAUUUAUGCAAUUGGUUUUGUAUUUAACCUAUAUUUAAUACUCCUAAUCAGUAUGUAAAUAUUUGAUGUGACAGGGACAAAAUCUGUCUCCAAACGGGGCCUAGAUACAAUGGUAGUUUAUCCGGCAAAGACAAUUACAUUAAGUAAGUAAGAUGUAAAUGAUGACGGCCGUUGGUUGCUUGAUGGACGGCAUCCCUGAAGUCGACCAACCGUUAUAAACGUCACCGGCUUCCUCUACUCCCUUGUUCUGCUUCACUUCUGACGAAACUGAAUGAGAAAGCCUCAUUGCCAUUCCUGACAUCCGCCGUGCUAGCUCAGCUCCAGCCUGCUGGUCGCGCUCGCCGUAUCUGGAGAGAGAUGAGCGAGUGCUGCUCAUCAUGAGGAGGUGGCCUAGCCACUUGCUCAUGGGAGUCCGAGAUCGAGAUCCGCUGGCCAGGACUGCUCCCCGCACUGGAGCUAUUGCGUCGUGGUUGGGUGAGACCGCGUCGCCGCGCCGCCCCC